rnacentral:lncRNA from 1 species
CAGACCCAGCUACUCUGAUACUGUUACUGACAGACCCAGUUACUCUGAUACUGUUACUGAUAGACCCAGCUACUCUGAUACUGUUACUGACAGACCCAGCUACUCUGAUAAUGUUACUGACAGACCCAGUUACUCUGAUACUGUUACUGACAGACCCAGCUACUCUGACACUGUUACUGACAGACCCAGCUACUCUGAUACUGUUACUGACAGACCCAGUUACUCUGAUACUGUUACUGACAGACCCAGCUACUCUGACACUGUUACUGACAGACCCAGCUACUCUGAUACUGUUACUGACAGACCCAGCUACUCUGAUACUGUUACUGGCAUAACAAUAAUCCCAACCCUUUUCCUGGAUAUAAUGUGGUGUGGAACCCCUCUAACAUCUCCUAUGAUCUACUGAUUGAGAACAUCACUGAAUCUGACCUGGGACUCUACUACUGUGGGACUGUGGAGAACAAUGUAGUGGAUGAUGGAGACACCAGUCCUCCUGAGUCCUCCCCUCCUCCUGUAGACUGUGGGCUGUGUUGGAUGUUGCUGUUCAGUCUGUGUCCUGUGUCUGCUCUCCUCUCUCCUCUCCUCCACCUGUGUCUACUCCUUCUGCAGAACAACAGCUGCAACUGAGACGCGGGUUCCUCUGAACAAGACCACGACCAGGGGAAGAGGAAGGAGACCUGUUUAACGCCUCGUCAGGGACAGAGGAGACCAAAGAAGAAGAAGAAGAGACCUAUACCAUCCAUCAAUACCAGCAGAGUGAGACCUAUACCAUCCAUCAAUACCAGCAGAGUGAGACCUAUACCAUCCAUCAAUACCAGCAGAGUGAGACCUAUACCACCCAUCAAUACCAGCAGAGUGUGAGACCUAUACCAUCCAUCAAUACCAGCAGAGUGAGACCUAUACCAACCAUCAAUACCAGCAGAGUGAGACCUAUACCAUCCAUCAAUACCAGCAGAGUGUGAGACCUAUACCAUCCAUCAAUACCAGCAGAGUGAGACUUAUACCAUCCAUCAAUACCAGCAGAGUGAGAC